AAUGUUUUCAUUUCAUACCAAACGCACCACUGUACUCUCUCCUCUCUCCUCUCCCCUCCCCUUUACCCCUAAACCCUAAGCCGCCGUCCCACUUUUAUCUUCUCUUUUAUGCCAAAAAUGGCAGUGCUGCACGAAGUACAAGGUUUUGCAGUCGUGUACCCCCCUUUUCCAAGCUAACAAUAAAUGCUUCCAUCCCAUUUCCACCUUAUAUCAUCCAAACACGAUUAUACGCCUUUUUCUUUUACUUUUCCUCUUAAAUUUUGAGUCAAAGAUUUGAUUUUCUGUGUUAUAUUUGUUGUAUUGUCACUGUACGUCCUUGUUCCUCAUUGGUCUAAUUCAAACCAACUGGAUCGAGAGAGAUCAGGCUCAAAUCAAGCCAUUCGUUGUUAGCAAGGGUCAAUCUAGACCCUAUAAUUCAUUUUUUCAAGUUUUUUUCUGAAAAAUCUCACUUUGUACCACAUCGUUGGUUCUAGGGUUUUGAUAGUUUUUGGGGCUCGAUAAAUAGAAUGCCAACCCUCACCAUUCAAAAAGCACAAGGCUCUUAAUUCGAUCUUGUUCGCGGCUGCACAUCAAAAAGUCCGUUGAUGACAACAGGUGGUAGCUGGAAAAAGACAAAGAAGAAAUAGUCAUACAGAAGCCUUUUCUUUCUUUACUGCAACUUCGAUCGGGACAACCCACUAUUUUGAAUUUCAAGGUGUUAUUCUACUGGAGUUCUAAGGAAAAGAAGACCAGCUCCCAGCAAAAGAGAAAGCUGAUGAAUCUUCUUCCACUCCCCAACCUCUAAGGAGUCGUAGAGCAAUGUCUUUAUUGGCGGUUGCGCAACCUUCGAUUGAAGCAACUUCUGCGGAUUGCGACAGCACCUGGCCUUGGAUCAAGGCUCUCACUCGCUCAAGACGUCGAUGCGCCACCGGGUUGACCCUUUUCUUACCAGCAUGGGGAGUUGCGAUGGAUGCCAAGAUGAAGACUCCUCAGCGCCAAUUAGGGGUACAAGAGAUAGUUGGAUCAAGCUGCAUCAGGUUAAUGGCAACUUACACAGUGGUAAUGGAAAAAUGGCAGCUUGCUGGGGUGGGAAUUAAUCUCGGAAGAAGAAGAAGAGGGUGGGUAGGUGGGUGAGAGGGAAGGGAAGGGGUGGGGGGCGGGGGCGGGUGUAGAAAAUAGUUUUUUGUUUCUUUUCUUUUUUAUUUUGGCUGCAUUUUUUAAUUAACUAAAGUUUUGAAAUAAUUUUUCUACUCAUUUUUUUUAAUAAUUAUUUUGAUAUAUAUGCCACAUGUCUUCAUUUAAUUUUCCUCUUUGACAUGUCAUCGACGAGUGUGUUACGCUCACUUUACAUAUUUGAUCAAAAAUUGUCUAAUUGGAACAAAUUUAGGGUAGUCUAAGCACUCAAAUGGAACACCACUAAGUUCAGAUGUCCAAGUGAAAAAUCUUAUCAACUUCAAGUGUCUCCCGAUGGGUUCAGCCAAUGACAAAUAAGUAGAGAGUAUUGCAUGUUUCAUGUUGCAUCAUAUGAGACUAUACAUCCAGCUAAAGAAUAUAGUGCCUUUUCGUCUUU